AAUCCUGCUUCUGGGUAUCAAAUUCAAUGGCUACAAUUUGGUUUGUGAUGCUGCCAUCGGUAGUUGCAUUGGUGAGGCCCAUCCACUGCCCCCAGCUCUGAUCAGGUACAUCAGCAGUCGGAGCUAUAAGAAAACCAUAACUUGAAGGGCUGGUGGUACAUAAUCCGGCCAGACGUAUUUUGAAGGCGAACAAUAUCGUUCUGCGAGUCGGGAGUUAGCUGCAGGGCGCCCUCAUCGAUGGAAGACGACCCUUGAGUGAAGGAGAAGUCUUGGUUGUGCUCCCUUUCAUUGAAUCCAACAUAGGCAAAACGAGGCUCAAGGCUCGGUUGGCUGCUCACAGCUCCAAAGAGCAAUACCACACAAGCCACAAGAACAGCAACCAAGGAAAACCAGAACAUACAGAUGAAUUCCAGGCUCUGUAGAUCAGCAAUGAGAAUCUCCAAUCCGGAUCGAGAUCUAAGUUCUUCCUUUGUGAAACUGUUUGAGAAAAAGCUAGAGGUAAGCUCUUUUUUGCCUUAAAAGUUAAGAGCUUUCCUCCAUGAUUAUCGCUUUGAUAUGAAAUGAAAAGAACAUCAUUGAUCAUCUGUAACUCAACGCAUUAGUUUAAUCUUUUGGAAGCAACCGGGUUUUGGGAAAGUUUGGAAACGGUCGAAGGUCAAAGGGGGGCUUGAGGAAGAAGGGUCAAAAUUUUCAUGCUGAAAAUGGAGAAAGAAGCCAUUGAUGAAUUCUCCACGUUGACAAAAACGAGCAGCUUCUGAGAGGUAACAGUGUAAAUAUAAAAUUGUUUUAGACUGCAACCGAGAUAUAGCGAUCUGAAUGGAAUGGCAUGUGGAAUCUUUUCAACUUUAAAAUGAUUAUUUUAUGUAUCCACUACCUUGAAAUUUUUUGUUUUUAUGAGUGGUUGUUGGGCCCACAUCGGAAAGUGAUUUGAAUAAAUGGUUUGUUUAUGUGGGUUUCAGAUUUGGUCUGAAUUCUUUCAAAAGAUUGAUGUUUUCAUCAACUGCUUUGGAUUUGGGAAUUUUUUUUUUUUUAUUAUUAUAUCUUUUACUUGGACUGUCAUGUCCCAUGGAUUGAGGAGUGAGGAGGAUAACAAACCACCCUUUAUUAGGAUUUGAAACCCUUCUCCCAGUAGACACCUUUUAAAAUCUUGAAGGGAAGUUCGAAAGGGAAAGCCCAAAAAGAACAAUAUCUGCUAGCGAUGGAUCUGAGGCAUUAUAGUAUCUUCGGGCCGUUUGAAUACAGCUAAGACAUAUACUUUCGACUAAGAGUUUAAAAGUUCGAAACUCUAUUCUAGUUGUUGAUUUCUUGAGCUGAGAGUACUUGUUUUAUGUCGAUUGAGCUUUGUUUGUUUUUUGAAAAGUUAUUAUUUGACAGUGAUCACAUACCCGUAUGAUUUAAUGGUCGAGAGUAUUUGCUUUAUGUCGAUUGAGCUUUGUUUGUUU